rnacentral:lncRNA from 10 species
GCAAGAGAAUGGUGUGAACCCAGGAGGCAGAGCUUGCAGUGAGCUGAGAUCACGUCACUGCACUCCGGACUGGGCGACAAAGCAAGACUCCGUCUCAAAAAAAAAGAAACGGAGUUAAAUAUCAAACGGCCAAAAAGUACUACCAAACUUUUAAAACAAUGCACGCACUACACACUUUGAAAAUUGAAAAUAUUUAAAAGAAAAAAUUGGCAAUAAAUAUUUUGAUUGGAAAGGGUGAUGGUUAUAAAAACAUGAUAUAAAGAUGUGUAAGAACCCAAGAAACAAUGUGGCUUCAAAAGUAUCAACACCUACUGCAAGACACUGAGUGAUACCCACGGCCCAGGGCUAGGCCAAUGCCCCACUAACCUGGGUCCCCUCAAAACCCUCUGCCCCCAGCCUUCAGGAGCUGCUGGCUCCCACCUGUCAGAACUCAGUUCUGGUUGUAUGGAGAGGUCUGAACCCACCUUCCGUCCUCUGGUCCAGCUCUCGCAUCAGCUGGAAGUUCCUCUGAAGUUCGCAGGGAAGGUUCUCGAUACCUGAAACGCAAAAACACAGAAGCCAUGUACCUCUCAGCAGCAAGACAAAAAUUCACCUCCAAAGGUUUUCUGUCUUUUUUUUUUGAGAUGGAGUUUCACUCUUGUUGCCCAGGCUGGAGUGCAGUGGUGCGAUCUUGGCUCACUGCAACCUACACCUCCCAGGUUCAAGUGAUUCUCACGCCUCCGCCUCCUGAGUAGCUGGGAUUACAGGCACAUGCCACCAUGCCCGGCUAGUUUUUGUAUUUUUAGUUGAGACGGGGUUUCACAAGGUUGGCCAGGCUUGUCUCGAACUCCUGACCUCAGGUGAUCCGCCCACCUCGGCCUCUCAAAGUGCUGGGAUUACAGGUGUGAGCCACCAGGACUGGCCAAAAGUUUUAUACUUCAAGUCUACAAGCCCACUCUGUAUUCUGUCUCUGUCAGGGUUUGCGGAGCGGAAGGACUGUGAUCUCAUUUUUAGAUGCAGGUACCAAACAGUGCUGACAAGAGGCUGUGUGCACACUUCGGAAGCUGUCAGAAGUCAAAGAAGGGAGAGGGAAACUUGGAAACCAACAGCACAGGCAGGGGAGGCCAACUGACCCCACCCUCUAGGCUGCCCCCCCUCAGUGAGCAGCAUCUUCCAAGGCUCAAGCCAAAAUCCCCUGGGUCCUCCUUGAUCUUCCCCUACUUUACCCAGAAAUCCAGUGCAUUGAGCAGUGUAGCCACGCUGCCCACGCGACUUUAUGCAAGGAUAGAAAUGUUUCCUCUCUCGGAUGGGCGUGGUGGCUCAUACCUGUAAUCCCAGCACUUUGGGAGAUCAAGACAGGCAAAUCAGUUGAGGUCAGGAGUUCAAGACCAGCCUGGCCAACAUGGUGAAACCCUGUCUCUACUAAAAAUACAAAAAUUAUCCAGGCGUGGUGGUGCACAGCUACAGUCCCAGCUACUCGAGAGGCUAGGGCAUGAGAAUUGCUUGAACCUGGGAGGUGGAGGUUGCAGUGUGCUGAGAUCAUACCCUCCAACCUGGGCAACAGGGUGAGACUCCAUUUCAAAAAAAAUCAAAAAAAGAAAAAGAAAAGAAAUGUUCUCUCUGAGCUGCCCAAGACAGUGGUGGCCAUAGGGAGCUACUGAGCACUGGAAAUGGGACUAACGCCAUUCAAUUUUUAAUUUUACUUAAAUAGUCCCUGUGGCUAGCGCAACCAUUCCCCACAGUCUGCCAGGAGGACCCCCGUGCUGCUUUCGCGUCUGCUUUGUUACCCCCUAGACCAGGCCAACCUCCGCCCCCUGCACAGCUGACACAGGCUCCUAAGGGGGGCUGCCUCCUCCAGUCUUGGCCACCCUCCCAUCUGCUGUUCACAGUUACCAGGCAAUCAUUUUAAACCUAACUCUAUCUUAUGCAUCUGAUGCUUCCAGCCCCAGUGUUUUCCCAGCUCCCCUAGAGGACAGAGGCACAGCCUCCCGGCUGGCACAGCCUCCCAGACACACACAAAGUCAACCCUCCUUGGGAGGCCAGCCCACUGGCUGGGCACCAGGAUAGAGAAGGCCUCCCCUCCAGCGUGCUCCCCAGCUUGACUCUUCUACCCAGGGAACCCCCCACUACUCAGACCCCCAAGAGACAGCGGAGCACAUGGGCAGAAUCGGGCGUCCCUCUAGGGCAGCGGUCUCCAGCUCCAGGCCACGGCUCACUCGCCACUGUCUCAGCCCCUGGGCGGGUGCCAGGCCGAAGACCAUGAGGAUCCCCAGUGCAGCGCCCCCACAAGGGCCCUCCAGAGCCACCCGGCACAACCCCAAACACCGCGACCCCAAAGCUGUGCCCAUCCCGGGCCGACGUCAGGGGUCCCGCGUGGGGUCUGCCCCUCUACGAGCGGGAGACCCUGAGCAGGCUGCUCGGCAGCGCUGGACCUUCCCUGGUGUGUAAAGUGAGGGAAAGCACCGUCCGCUCAGCCGCUGGGGGCGCCGACCUGCUGCCACCUGGAAACAGCACAGCCCGCCCACCAGGGCCGACUCGGCACCGCCCUCCCCGCCUCCGCGCCGCAGUCCCCAGUGCCGGGGAGAGACGCCCCGCGGCCCGCACGCCCUCCCCAGCCGCGGUCACACAAGAGGCCGGCGCACACGGGCGCACAGCCAGGCGGAGGCCCAGACCCCGGAGCCCCCAAGGCCCGGAGCCCCGCAGCGGGCGCCAGCUCCUCCUGCAGACGGGACAGGGACGGGCGGGACCUGGC